rnacentral:rRNA from 1 species
CCUACGGGAGGCUGCAGUGGGGAAUAUUGGACAAUGGGCGAAAGCCUGAUCCAGCCAUGCCGCGUGUGUGAAGAAGGCCUUCGGGUUGUAAAGCACUUUCAGUGGGGAAGAAAGCCUUGGGGCUAAUACCCUCGAGGAAGGACAUCACCCACAGAAGAAGCACCGGCUAACUCCGUGCCAGCAGCCGCGGUAAUACGGAGGGUGCGAGCGUUAAUCGGAAUUACUGGGCGUAAAGCGCGCGUAGGCGGUCUGAUAAGCCGGUUGUGAAAGCCCCGGGCUCAACCUGGGAACGGCAUCCGGACGUGUCCGGCUAGAGUGCAGGAGAGGAAGGUAGAAUUCCCGGUGUAGCGGUGAAAUGCGUAGAGAUCGGGAGGAAUACCAGUGGCGAAGGCGGCCUUCUGGACUGACACUGACGCUGAGGUGCGAAAGCGUGGGUAGCAAACAGGAGUAGAUACCCUGGUAGUC